rnacentral:rRNA from 1 species
AUUGAACGCUGGCGGCAGGCCUAACACAUGCAAGUCGAACGAGUGGCGGAGGGGUGAGAAAUGUCUGGGAAACUGCCAGAUGGAGGGGGAUAACUACUGGAAACGGUAGUUAAUACCGCAUACCAUCGGAUGUGCGCAGAUGGGAUUAGCUAGUAGGUGGGGUAAAGGCUUACCUAGGCGCCGAUCCCUAGCGGGUCUGAGAGGAUGACCAGCCACACUGGAACUGAGACACGGUCCAGACUCCUACGGGAGGCAGCAGUGGGGAAUAUUGCACAAUGGGCGCAAGCCUGAUGCAGCCAUGCCGCGUGUAUGAAGAAGGCCUUCGGGUUGUAAAGUACUUUCAGCAGGGAGGCGUUACCCGCACAGGAAGCACCGGCUAACUCCGUGCCAGCAGCCGCGGUAAUUC